GAGCUUGUGAUGAUUCAGGUCCGAAAGGAUCUUAUCGGAUUUCUGUGAGGCGAUUAUGUCGCCGUUGAUCGCUUAAUGUUGUUACACAUUGGAACUU
rnacentral:snoRNA from 1 species